rnacentral:rRNA from 1 species
UACAGAGGUCCCGAGCGUUGUUCGGAUUCACUGGGCGUAAAGGGUGCGUAGGUGGUGAGGUAAGUCGGAUGUGAAAUCUCCGAGCUCAACUCGGAAAUGGCAUUGGAAACUACCUUGCUAGAGGAUCGGAGGGGGGACUGGAAUACUUGGUGUAGCAGUGAAAUGCGUAGAUAUCAAGUGGAACACCAGUGGCGAAGGCGAGUCCCUGGACGAUACCUGACACUGAGGCACGAAAGCUAGGGGAGCAAACAGG